UAGGGAAUCUUCCACAAUGGACGCAAGUCUGAUGGAGCAACGCCGCGUGAGUGAAGAAGGUUUUCGGACCGUAAAGCUCUGUUGUUGGUGAAGAAGGAUAGAGGUAGUAACUGGCCUUUAUUUGACGGUAAUCAACCAGAAAGUCACGGCUAACUACGUGCCAGCAGCCGCGGUAAUACGUAGGUGGCAAGCGUUGUCCGGAUUUAUUGGGCGUAAAGCGAGCGCAGGCGGAAGAAUAAGUCUGAUGUGAAAGCCCUCGGCUUAACCGAGGAAUUGCAUCGGAAACUGUUUUCUUGAGUGCAGAAGAGGAGAGUAGAACUCCAUGUGUAGCGGUGGAAUGCGUAGAUAUAUGGAAGAAUACCAGUGGCGAAGGCGGCUCUCUGGUCUGCAACUGACGCUGAGGCUCGAAAGCAUGGGUAGCGAACAGGAUUAGAUACCCUGGUAGUCCAUGCCGUAAACGAUGAGUGCUAAGUGUUGGGA
rnacentral:rRNA from 1 species